CACACACACACACACGAACACGUUCGACGCGGGGACGCGGACGCCCGGCCCGAGCGCACGCGCGAAUCGCCGUGGACCUCGCCGGGGGCGGCGACGAGCUAGGAUCUCGGCGAUCUAGUCGCCGGAGGCGGCCCCCAUGGCUCGCCGGUCGUCGUCCUCGUCGUCGGGGGCGUGGCGGUACCUCAACCCCGCGUACUACCUCAAGCGGCCCAAGCGCCUCGCGCUCCUCUUCUUCGUCUUCGUCGCGGCCACCUUCGCCUUCUGGGACCGCCAGUCGCUCGUCCGCGAGUACGAGUCUGAGAUUUCCAGAUUAGAAGAUGAUAUUAAUCGGUUGCAUGACCAGCUAAGAAAGGCUGGAGUCCAUGUGGAUGAAAAUCCAAGUAACGCCAGAAAAGAUCUUGUAGAAAUCGAUCCUGUGAAUAAUGAAAGGAGGGAAAAAGUUAAGGAGGCAAUGCUCCAUGCUUGGAAUUCCUAUGUAAAGUAUGCCUGGGGAAUGGAUGAGCUUCAGCCACAAUCAAAGAAUGGCAUCAAUAGCUUUGGUGGCCUUGGAGCAACCCUUGUGGACUCACUUGAUACACUGUAUAUCAUGGGCCUGAAAGAUGAAUUUCAGAAAGCUAGAGACUGGGUGGCCGAGUCAUUAGACUUUGACAAGGAUUAUGAUGCAAGUGUUUUUGAAACGACCAUAAGGUUGCAUUAUAAGGGUCGUUGGAGGUCUACUUAGUGCGUACGAUCUGUCUGGUGAUAAAGUAUUUCUUGAGAAGGCUAAAGAUAUUACUGAUCGACUAUUACCUGCUUGGGAGACAACAUCUGGCAUCCCCUAUAAUAGAAUAAACCUAGCUCAUGGACGAGCCCAUAAUCCUGGAUGGACCAACGGUGAUAGUAUCCUUGCAGAUUCUGGUACGGAGCAACUUGAAUUUAUAGCUCUGUCCCAGAGGACUGGGGAUCCCAAGUAUCAGCAGAAGGCAGAGAAUGUCAUCACACAGCUUCAGAAAAUAUAUCCGAGUGAUGGUUUACUUCCUAUUUACAUAAAUCCUCAUUCUGGAACUGCAUCAUACUCAACUAUCACAUUUGGUGCUAUGGGAGAUAGCUUCUAUGAAUACUUGCUCAAGGUCUGGAUCCAGGGAAAUAAAACUGAGCAUGUAAAACACUACAGACAAAUGUGGGAGACAUCGAUGGAAGGUCUAAUAAGUUUAACCAAGAAAACUACCCCAUCUAAUUACCAUUAUAUUUGUGAAAAGAAUGGUGGCUCAUUGUCUGACAAGAUGGAUGAACUUGCUUGCUUUGCUCCUGGUAUGCUGGCAUUAGGAGCCUCUGGUUAUGGCCCAGAAAAAUCUGAGCAAAUUAUGAAUCUUGCAAAAGAGCUUGCUAGGACCUGCUAUAAUUUCUACCAAACCACUCCCACGAAGUUGGCUGGCGAGAACUAUUUUUUCCAUGCUGGACAGGAUAUGAGUGUGGGCACAUCUUGGAACAUUCUGAGACCGGAGACUGUCGAAUCGCUUAUGUACCUAUGGCGUUUGACGGGGAAUAAAACAUACCAAGAUUGGGGGUGGGAUAUAUUCCAGGCAUUUGAGAAGAACUCCCGCAUAGAAUCUGGAUAUGUGGGACUGAGAGAUGUGAACACUGGUGAAAAAGACAACAUGAUGCAGAGCUUCUUCCUGGCAGAGACACUCAAGUACCUCUACCUGCUUUUCUCCCCUCCAUCAGUCAUCUCCUUUGACGAGUGGGUUUUCAACACUGAAGCUCACCCGUUGAGAAUUGUUCCGAUACAUGAUAACAAGGGCAUCGGAACACCUGCCCGACCGUUUGGACCACUUGGAAGAAAACAGGGCAAACCUGAGUAAGCUUGGAUAUAGAGCAGUGGAUUUUUUAAUCCGCCGUCUGAUUUUUGACCUGCAUGUUGAUGUUCUGACACGAGGGGACAUUCUGCCUGAAGGAUCAAGGGUUAGGAAUCACGGCGAUAGGCUGUUUAGAGUUAAAAUCAUUGGUAGAGCAUGAUGCUAUAUGCGGGGCAGUGACCUCUGCGGUAUGAUCGGAGGUCAAUAGCCCCAUAGAAGUUUUUAUAUCUUUGGACUUGCUUACGCGCCCUGAGCUGCGUUGUUUAUGUGUAGCAUAAACGUCUAAUUCACUGUCCAUAUGUUGUUGCUUGCCUGGGGCGGCUGUGGAGCUGUAUUUUCCAUUAUUUUCCCUGAGUUGUUACCUUUUUUCAGAUAUGAUUUAUAAAAUGAUGUCUGUAAUUUUUCCUUUAAACCUCAUUUUCUGCUA